AUUCGAGUCGCAUUUGAACUGGAGCGGAGAAAGUUACCAUGGAAACGGUGCGGCACCUCUCAACUGACAAGCAGCGAACACCGUCUCUCACUGUUGUUUUCACUACUUUCAGAUUUUUCCAUGCUGAUGGCAGUGCAGUUGGACAUCUUUAGACAUUGUGAACAAUGUGACUGGAUUUUUUGGGGGGGCUUGAUGAUGCACUGGAGCCCCUGAGCAUUUGUCAGCGCCUACAUCUGUCGACAACAGCCUGCAGUAUGUGCCCACCAAUGAGUGAAGCCUGCUGAAGAAGACAGAGGACUGAGACAACACAUGCACUUGAACACAAAUACACACCCUAUACAUCUGAGGUUUUUUUUUCUUCAUGUGUAAUUUUAAUGUUUGCUUUUGUAUGUUUUAAACACUCAAUUUUCAAUGCAUAUUUUGAAAUGAAAUAAAAGCUCAAUUUGAAUUAGUUAAUUGUUUUCAUUUUGGGAAACAUGGCUAUAGGCCCUACGGAAGAACAUGGUACUGUUUUCUGUGGUAUAUUGCUCAAUGAUUUUACAUGGGUUUCACAUUAAAUUACAGGUGUACAUGGGGUGUAACAUACAUGUUUGUCUAAGCUCAUCUAAAAUAUGAGUUGAAGCACCUGCAAAGAGGAUUUGUGACUGUCACAAAUAGUUUAGAGCCAAUCACUGUAAAGCACUACACCUACAGUACAAAAGUGUGACACUUAAAGCCUCUGAAAAAAGCUUCCAUUCUGCAGUUCAACUUCUUGAA